UUGAAUGUAAUAAGAAUUUAUUAAUAAAAAUUCCACAAAUUUUCGUUUUUUUUAAACUAACAUUCA
rnacentral:tRNA from 1 species